rnacentral:rRNA from 1 species
UGGGGAAUCUUGCGCAAUGGGCGAAAGCCUGACGCAGCGACGCCGCGUGUGUGAUGAAGGCCUUCGGGUUGUAAAGCACUGUCGCCCGGGACAAAGAAAGUGAUGGUACCGGGAAAGGAAGCACCGGCUAACUCUGUGCCAGCAGCCGCGGUAAUACAGAGGGUGCGAGCGUUGUUCGGAAUUAUUGGGCGUAAAGCGCAUGUAGGCGUUCUGCUAAGUCGCGUGUGAAAGCUCCAGGCUCAACCUGGAAAGUGCGCGCGAAACUGGCGGAAUAGAGUGCUGGAGAGGGUGGCGGAAUUCCCGGUGUAGAGGUGAAAUUCGUAGAUAUCGGGAGGAACACCAGAGGCGAAGGCGGCCACCUGGACAGUGACUGACGCUGAGAAGCGAAAGCGUGGGGAGC